UACGGAGGGGGCUAGCGUUGUUCGGAAUUACUGGGCGUAAAGCGCACGUAGGCGGCUUUGUAAGUUAGAGGUGAAAGCCCGGGGCUCAACUCCGGAACUGCCUUUAAGACUGCAUCGCUAGAAUUGUGGAGAGGUAAGUGGAAUUCCGAGUGUAGAGGUGAAAUUCGUAGAUAUUCGGAAGAACACCAGUGGCGAAGGCGACUUACUGGACACAUAUUGACGCUGAGGCGCGAAAGCGUGGGGAGCAAACAGG
rnacentral:rRNA from 1 species